ensembl:lncRNA
GAGAACCUUAAAACCAUUCUUUAUGGAGAGUGUCCAUUGUAAUGAGUUUCAACGAGAUUUCACAAUCGCUUCUCCUAAAACUAGUGGAGUUUCAUCAUAUGGGCACACUGCAAUUAAUCACAUUCCGAAGUUUGCAGGACCUGGAAACUUAGCAAAUGAAAAGGAAAGCUCUGAAUUCAAUCAGAAAGGAGAAAAAGCACUUGAGGCACAAUGAAUCCCACAUCUGCUUUCUUCCUAGAAACUUUUGAAAGCGUGUUGAUUUGGAUAUUCAUCUGGGGACAGAGCUGAGAAAUGAUUGGACUUCGAGGUGAAGAAAGAUGAGGGGAGGGGUAGCUGCUACUUGAUGACCGACUUGGAAAUCCCUGAAGGAAGGCCCUUAGCUAAUGGAAAAGUCCUGUUCCCACCGAGAUUCCAUUUGGCAGAGAGUUUAUCAUUAAACAUACAGAAGGCAUGACUAACACAGGAGAAAUUGCAGCAUUCCAGGCCCAAUAGUCUAAGCUAGGGAGAGGAGAACAUCGCAUCCAUUCACCAUAUCUAUCCUGAUGGGUAUGCUGCUCUGAGAUGAGGGAUAGAACAGACGGUUGGUGUCACUUCUUCACUUCACGGAAGGAGGUCACCCACAACCUUUAUACUUCGCUUCUGACUGGAAAGCUUUCUGAGAACUAGCCUGUCGGUGUAGGAUUUGAAUGUCCACAGAGGAAGGCACUAUGUCAAUCUAAAUCAACUUUAAGCAGCUCAAAGAAGGAGCUAAAGCUUCCCGAAAUCUACAAGAUAUAAG